rnacentral:lncRNA from 1 species
AAUAAGAGGAGGUGCAAAUCAAGUGAGGAGGUGUAUCAAAUGAUAUGUCCUUUCAUGUGGUGCCAUAUUUUGACCAAGUCAACAUCACAUGCUAAUCACAUGUCCAUCAUGCCUCACCUCUUGAUCUUUCAUGAUGAUGAUCCAAGGGCUCCAAUGCAAGGCGCCAUUCACUUGACCCAUUAUGUCUUCAUCCAAUGGUGGGAUUAAGAUCCAAUGGUCAAUUAUGAUAGCCAUCCUCUAACCCAAUCCAAUUGGGUUAAACCAACUCUCCAUUAUAUCUUCAUCCAACGGUAGAUCAAGAUCUAAUGGUCUAGAUUGAAUGAUUUAUUAAAUCUAAUCCAAUUAGACUCAAACCAAGCCAAUUAGGUGCCAACUCUUGGCUAACCCAUAUUAGAACAUGAUCUAAUCAAAUUAGAUCAAGUAAGAAUCGGAUUCGAGUCCAAUUCGAAUCAAGAGCUAAGGGUUUGCAACACCUGCUAGGAUGUCUAUCUUGCAAACAUGAUCUAAUCCAAUUAGACCCUUAAUAAGUUUUCUUGUGUGUGACCCAUUAGGUUCCAUACUUAGCCAGCAAUAGGUGUGAGUGCGAGUUGACCCAACUUGAUUAGAACUCUUCUAAUUGAUUUAAGUCCAAACUGCGCGAACCCGAACUUAACAAUUAGAAUCCUUUCUAAUUGGUGAUC